GCUGGGCGUUGUGGCAGGCGCCUGUAAUCCCAGCUACUUGGGAGGCUGAGGCAGGAGAAUCGCUUGAACCUGAGAGGUUAGAGGUUGCAGUGAGCUAAGAUCACGCCACUGCACUCCAGCUUGGGUGACAGAGUGAGACUCUGUCUCAA
ensembl:misc_RNA Metazoa_SRP Metazoan signal recognition particle RNA